rnacentral:tRNA from 1 species
GUCUCAAGUUGUUGGAGAUGGGCUAGGGCUGUUCGUGCGUCGCUUGCCCCUGUGACGCACUCCAGAUGCGACGAGGGUGACCCCGUGCGGGUUCGAAUCCCGCUCUGGGUACGCCA